UACGAAGGGGGCUAGCGUUGCUCGGAAUCACUGGGCGUAAAGCGCACGUAGGCGGCUUUAUAAGUCGGGGGUGAAAGCCUGUGGCUCAACCACAGAAUUGCCUUCGAUACUGUAGAGCUUGAGACCGGAAGAGGUAAGUGGAACUGCGAGUGUAGAGGUGAAAUUCGUAGAUAUUCGCAAGAACACCAGUGGCGAAGGCGGCUCACUGGCCCGAUACUGACGCUGAGGCACGAAAGCGUGGGGAGCAAACAGG
rnacentral:rRNA from 1 species